GGAGAUGUGACUCAGUAGUAGAGCCCUUGCCUAGCAUGCAGAAGGCCUUGGGUUUGAUUCCCAGUACCACCA
rnacentral:tRNA from 1 species